rnacentral:lncRNA from 1 species
CAUCUGCAAUCUAGUAAUGAAAUAUGAACAAACAUUUUGAAUAAUGUACAAUGAUACUUACAUUGUUCGCUUUAUAAAUACAAUGAAUAAUGCUCUGUUUUUAUAUAUAGAAAAAUAAAAAAUCUUUCUAAUUAGAGAAUAAUUUUUACAACACACAAUAGAGUUCUAUCAUUAAACAAUUUUAAAAAUGUACGUCGUUAACCACUUUUAAGAACAUAAAUUCCAUUAAUAGUUAACAAAGAAAAUUUUUGUGGUUAACAAAGUUGUAAAAUUAAUUGUGAUUUAACUCAGAUUUUGUGUUACAAAAAUCUUUCUAUGUAUUUAAAAAGAUUAUUUGAAGGUGUUGUAGUAGCUGCUAAUCGCUGGUAAGUCUUUUAUCUUCAUCAGAUUCAGAGGUUGCAGAAGUUUUAGCUGUAUGGAAGGAUUUGGAGUUUGCGAAAGACAUUUGCUUUAUAGCAGAAUCAAAUGAUUCUAAUGUGGUCUUGACGUUGAAUACUCAUCAACAAUCUUCCACCUAUAUCAGCUCUAUUAUUAAAGAUUGUAUUUAAGCUUAAGUGUUGGUUUUCGUAGUUUAAAUUUUUUGUAUGUUAGGCAUGAAGCCAAUUAAGCUGCUCAUGUUCUUCAUAAUUUAGAUUGCAUAUAGAUCAAAGAGACUCUACCCUGUAUUCCUGCAGUCUGAUAUUUGAUUUUUUUUUCCAAAAAAAUAGAAAAAAAAAUCUGUGAACAGUGUAAAACCGCGUGCUGUUGUAAAGAAAAUGUCGGAGGGAGUAAAGUAAUGAAUCAUGUUGGGACAACUCAUUUCUACACCUUUAUAAGAGAAUGAUUAGUGGUAAUGACGUUUUAAACUAACUAAGAAGUUUGACAUCUGGCCAUAUAAGAUUGAAUGAAGAAGAAUAACCUAUAUUUCUCAGUGCUCAUCCAAUU